rnacentral:rRNA from 1 species
GUCGGCAAUCGCUAGUCAAUCUCUUAGAUCAGCCUUAGCUUUCGGUGGAAUGCGUUCUCUGGUCGAGUCACACCGCUCGUCACACCGUGGCGUGCUGGUAAUGCCCUUAGGCGGGUUGUUAACUUCAGUUAC